rnacentral:lncRNA from 10 species
CUUUCCCUCGACGCGCUCCUCUUGCACGCGCCGGGCAGCCGGGUGCCCGCGCGGGGAGCGUGCGAGUGUGAGCGUGCGUGAGUGACCGCGGUCGUGGUCGUGGCUGCCGCCGCCGCCACCCGGACCGCUCUAGGGGCCCGGCUGCUCCGCGCGUUCGCCUGGGGCUCACGGGGGCCCGGGGCGACCGCUGGUUGGCUCGCGCGCCGCCCUCGCCUCCAAUCCCGGGUGCCUGUCCUAAUUUCCUGAUCCAGGGAACCUGCCGCCGCAGCGGCUGUGCGCUCCCUACAGUCAUUACUGUACCCUCCCGGCAGCCUCCGGCAGAACACGCAGCAGCAGCAGCAGUUAGCGCUGAUGCAACUAUCGUUGCUGUUGCCACCGCCUCCCCACUGACGGGGCGUGCACCUGGGGGGUACUUGCAGUUUCCAGGGGCAACAAGCAUCUCUCUACCACCCUCUCCUGCGCCCCUGAGAGAGGCUGGCUCCAAGCUUGAUAUAGAAGACUAUCAUAUGAACCAGAAAGGGUAACUGAAACCAAAGAAAUGACUCCAGUAUCAAGCUAAAGACAUGCCUUAAAGGAUGAGGAGGAGCAGAAAUCUUACCAGCAAGGCAAGAAAGAAGCCGUACGUGAACAGCCUCUGCUUUAGGCCCAGAAGGAAAAGAAGCUUACAGGAGACAAUCAGUCUUACACUCUUCCAUGGUCACAAACAAGAGGUCCCUGGAUCUACAGGUCAUCUUGCCCCUGAAAUGGCCCUGGAAAGCUAUGGCUGAAGAAUGGAGGAAAAGAUGACUUUCUCUGUUUCUUCAGACCAGGCAUCAACUGGGAUGUUGGGAUGUUGAUAAAAGGACAUCUCAUCCUUUGUUUUCUGCCUAUGCUUUCACCAUACCCAUUCCCAUGUCUGGUCAUCACAGCAUCCUUCACAGCCCUUAGCUGAAUCAUGUUGAGUACAGGAUGGUGUGAAUAUCAUGGUUUGAAUGCAACCAUGGUCUGUCAGUGUGGCUUGUUUUUUGCAGCCCACUUAGACUUAAGCCCUCUUAAUUUCAAAAUUACGUUCAUAUGUGCCAAUAAAGUUGUCCCUACAUGAACUGAAAAA